AUUGAACGCUGGCGGCAGGCCUAACACAUGCAAGUCGAACGAGUGGCGGACGGGUGAGUAAUGGCGGGGAAACUGCCUGAUGGAGGGGGAUAACUACGGGAAACGGUAGCUAAAACCGCAUAACAUCAGAUGGGGACAGAUGGGAUUAGGUAGUUGGUGGGGUAACGGCUCACCAAGGCGAAGAUCCCUAGCUGGUCUGAGAGGAUGACCAGCCACCCUGGAACUGAGACACGGCCCAGACUCCUACGGGAGGCAGCAGUGGGGAAUAUUGCACAAUGGGCGCAAGCCUGAUGCAGCCAUGCCGCGUGUAUGAAGAAGGCCUUCGGGUUGUAAAGUACUUUCAGCGGGGAUGCGUUACCCGCAGAAGAAGCACCGGCUAACUCCGUGCCAGCAGCCGCGGUAAUAC
rnacentral:rRNA from 1 species